rnacentral:rRNA from 1 species
GACGAACGCUGGCGGCGCGCUUAACACAUGCAAGUCGAACGGAAAGGCCUGCUUUCCCUUGUGGAUUGCGGGUACUCGAGUGGCGAACGGGUGAGUAACACGUGAGUGAUCUGCCCCCAACUUGGGUAUAAGCCUGGGAAACUGGGUCUAAUUCCCGAUAGGACUGCAGGGUGGUGCCUGUGGUGGAAAACGAUUUUCUAGUGGUUGGGGAUGAGCUCGCGGCCUAUCAGCUUGUUGGUGGGGUAAUGGCCUACCAAGGCGGCGACGGGUAGCCGGCCUGAGAGGGUGGACGGCCACAUUGGGACUGAGAUACGGCCCAGACUCCUACGGGAGGCAGCAGUGGGGAAUAUUGCACAAUGGGCGGAAGCCUGAUGCAGCGACGCCACGUGGGGGAUGACGGCCUUCGGGUUGUAAACUCCUUUCGACCGCGAGGAAGCCACCUGGUUGGAAGGGUGGUGACGGUAGUGGUAGAAGAAGCACCGGCUAACUACGUG